rnacentral:rRNA from 1 species
GACGAACGCUGGCGGCGUGCCUAACACAUGCAAGUCGAGCGAAUGAAAUUCCUUCGGGAAUGGAUUUAGCGGCGGACGGGUGAGUAACACGUGGGCAACCUGCCUCAUAGAGGGGAAUAGCCUUCCGAAAGGGAGAUUAAUACCGCAUAAGAUUGUAGUAUCGCAUGGUACAGCAAUUAAAGGAGCAAUCCGCUAUGAGAUGGGCCCGCGGCGCAUUAGCUAGUUGGUGAAGUAACGGCUCACCAAGGCGACGAUGCGUAGCCGACCUGAGAGGGUGAUCGGCCACAUUGGGACUGAGACACGGCCCAGACUCCUACGGGAGGCAGCAGUGGGGAAUAUUGCACGAUGGGGGAAACCCUGAUGCAGCAACGCCGCGUGAGUGAUGACGGCCUUCGGGUUGUAAAGCUCUGUCUUCAGGGACGAUAAUGACGGUACCUGAGGAGGAAGCCACGGCUAACUACGUGCCAGCCGCCGCGGUAA